UGGGAGUUCAUGAGGUUGAUGGGAACUCAUGAGGCUGAUAGGAGCUCAUGAGGUUGAUGGGAGCUCAUGAGGUUGAUGGGAACUCAUGAGGUUCAUGGGAGCUCAUGAGGUUGAUGGGAACUCAUGAAGUUCAUGGGAGCUCAGGAGGUUCAUGGGAGCUCCGCCAUCCCUUCCACUGGGCCAGGAUGUCGCUGUGGGUGACCAGGAAUUCAGGAGAGACUCUGCGUACACACUGAGCCUCCCCUCCUGCUGCUGCUCCCUCCUGACACUGCAGAGCUGAGGUGGAUUGCUGUGUGCUCUGAGGAAAGCUGAUCGAGGGGGGCUCUGUGAUACCUUCCAUGGGGGAGGUUCUCCACUGAGAUUUAUGGCUUUGCUCUAACACAGAGCAUGUUUACCUCUUGCAGACAAAGUUUUUCCUUUCAACCUAAAAGGGUUGACUGCUGAGGGAUCUAGGUUACUCAUUGCAGGAUUUUUAUGGCAGUUUAAGGUGGAUAUGAUGACCUAAAUUAAAUACAGUCAAAAAAGAGGCAGAAUGAAAUUCUCUGUUCAGUCAUUUUCUGUGGAAGCCUGGUGACACUGCUAACUCCAUGAAUACAAGGAAUAUGAAAGAGAAACAAGACAGAGCUAUUCUGGAAACUGUUGAAGGCAAAAAGAUAAAAUCUGAAUCAAUAUAUACAUUAAAACAAACAAACAAAAAACCUUCUAAAACAAAACCCCAAAGCCCCUUCCUGACCUAAAACCCAAAGCAGAUUAAAAUCCUACCCUGUACUCACAUACUGUACAAAUUAGUACUGAAAAUUGAAAAUAUAACAAAUAAUUUCUUCGAACAAGAAUUAAACCAAACUUCAGUGGCACAGAAAUGGAACUGUCUGCAUUCCUGCAAUGUGAUGAAUUCCACACUGAACUCCUCUUCACACAGGAAGCUUUCAUCAGAACCUGGAAAUUCCAGCUUUGUUCACAGGGACUGGGAUCCACAUGCAGGGGAAUAAACGUGGUAUAAAUCUGGGGAGGAAACCAAAGGCAGCAUUUAUGCUCAAGCUCCAGCCCUUCAUCCUUCAGCACAAGAACCUCACAAAACAAGAGUGUUGACAGCUGAGAGACAAAGUCUUCUGUCAGCACAAGUACAGCUCAGGUCACAGCUACCCACAGAGCACAGAGGACUGAGAAAGUGGGGUAAUUAAUGAAUGAAUAUAUUGGCAAUUUGUUUUCAAGGGUUUUUUAAAUCAGGAGGAUAAUAAUGUACAUGUUAAACAUACUGCUGAUAAACCCUUAAAUGUGUGAAUUCCACAGCCAGCAUGUGACUUCAAAAGCCAAACAACAACUUGUUGUGUAUCAAUAUAAUUUAUGAUGAUGUUCAGGAUUUCUUGGCUGUAUUUAAUUAGUAGAUUAAAAAUUUCCAUAAUAAGCUAUUUUUGAGAAUUUUUCCACAUUGUCAAGCUGUUGUUCCACUGAAGUAGAUCAAAUAUGAGCUUGAUACAUGGGUAGUGCUAGUUUUAGGAAGUUUUAGUGCAGUUAAGUUAAAAUAUAUGAAAUAAUUUAUUUCAUAUAUUUUAACUUCAUUAGUAAGCCUUCAUUUACUAUCAGACAAUAAAAUAAAUCAUUAAAUAUGAAGAAAAGAACAAACCAAACAAGGUCUGUGGAGCUGUGUGCAUUUUUCAAUAUGUGUGCAUUUUUCUCUUUCAAUGUGAAAUCUUCACAAUUAAACCCAAGAUAAGCAGCUUCAGUCUUCAAAAUGGCAAUACAGAUGAAAAAGAUUAUAUCAAAUGACAAACCAGUGUCCUUCAUUUCCCUGCAUUUUAUAUGGCAAUCUGUCUUUUUUGAACUCAGGCCUAUUCUAAAAUAUUUCACAUCUCGUUUUUUAAUUCUGACUUUCAUAUCUCUGAUAUCAGGAAGAGGAGAGAUGUCUUGGCACUCCAGAAAGUUCUCCUAAGGACUGAAAAUGAUGGGGGGGCAUGUUCUCUGGCUUUCUUGACUGAUAUAUCAGUAGCAUUUUAAAUAAUAAAUUUUUAACCUCUUAGAGGACAAAGAAUGUCUUGUAGAAGGUGUCCACCAUACUGCCUUUUUUAUUGUUGUUAAGAAAAAGCUUUUCCAAAGAAUUAAUCUAAUAUUGACCACAGAAAAAAAUUCCAACAACCCAUUUAAAAAUUAAUAUUGUUAAAAAAAACUU